AUGGAUGUGGGGAAACAUGUUGUAUUUCUUAAGCUUUUUGAUGCGGAGACCCAACUGCUACUGGUUAAGUUCGAUCAUCUGACCAUAUGGGCUGGGAUUUUGGCAUUACCUCCAAGAUUAAUGAAGGCGAAAUUUGGAAUGGAGUUUGCUAAGCCAAUUGGCAGGAUUAUUCAUGUGGAAUCAGAUGCUGAUGGACGAUGCUGGGGUGCCUACAUGCGUGUCCGUGUCGAGAUUGAUGUGCAAGAGCCUGUGAUUCGAUAUGUGACUGUGACCUCAGCGAAGUUAAAGACAACUGAGAUGUACUCUGUAAUGUAUGAGAAACUUCCUUUUUACUGCUUUUCUUGUGGUCUGCUUGGUCAUUCAUCUAUGUUGUGUCCUAAUCCGAGCAUCCGAGAUGAGAACGGGGAGCUACCUUAUGCAUCUAGGAAAUUGUGUGUUGAUGAUCCCUUGAGGAAAGGAGGCAGUCAUGGCUCCAGCGAAGCUUUGUCUUCCUCUGAGUUCAUGGGACAUGCAGGACCUAAGUCUUCUUCGGCUGCUGGUACCGGUGCCAAAAAAUCUGCUUGA
rnacentral:rRNA from 1 species